rnacentral:rRNA from 1 species
UACGUAGGGGGCGAGCGUUGUCCGGAAUUACUGGGCGUAAAGAGCUCGUAGGUGGUUUGUGGGGUGUUUCGUGAAAACCGGGGGCUUAACCCUCGGCGUGCGGGCGAUACGGGCAGACUUGAGUACUGCAGGGGAGACUGGAAUUCCUGGUGUAGCGGUGGAAUGCGCAGAUAUCAGGAGGAACACCGGUGGCGAAGGCGGGUCUCUGGGCAGUAACUGACGCUGAGGAGCGAAAGCGUGGGGAGCGAACAGG